UUAAAUAUGUACACGUGGCAAUUGAUGAGGGUGUUGAUGUUUUAGUUUUGGCGCAAUUCCCCUUCUCCGCCUUUUGUUAACGUGUUUGGAUCUUAUUUUGAGUAACCCGAUCUCCUCUCAAAUCUAAUGUAUUAUCCUUCUCCGAUUGAUUGAAUCGAAACAAAGGUAUGCAAUCAAGGUUUUGAUCUUGAACCUCUUGGUUUUCUUCAAGGAAAAGGCAGUUUUUUGUUUGCAAUUGCUUAUAUCAGCCGCACAGUUGCGUAUUGAUGCGAGCUGCAAUAAUGAUGUUAUAAUUGUGGUUGCUUAUAAAGUAACAAAAUUCCAGUUACAACAUCUCAUUUGCUUUUAAGAAAGAUAAAAAACAGAUAGAGGAUUUAUAUCCAAGUGAUACCUCAUUAGGGGCCCUGAUGGAUUUACUUUAAAGAAGGCAAAACGCCUAUGGCAAAAAAAGGUACAAUCUUUUAAUUAGCAAGGAAAACAAAAUUAUAAAACAAAGAUAUGAUAUUUCAAGAAUUCUAAGGCGUGGUUGGUUCUUUAACCGGUUCGGUUAAUAACCGUUUUUUUCGGUUAGUCAACCGGUUUCCCUUUUUUUGUUUAUUUGGUUAAUCAGUAAAUCGGUUAAACCGGUUGAAAAAAUUGAUUAAUAACCCAUUCCACUAAGCUGUUACUACUCUAAUGGUUAUUAACCGGUUUCAGUUUCGAUUAACAAACCGGUUAUAAUGUGCACCUCUAAACAUGGUCCUUAGAAACAGAAUUGAACAUUAUUACUCUUAAUAUAACCUGUUUCUAUUAUAUAUUUAAAUCUCUUUUUGAAAUUUUUAUUCUCUCAAAUAACACAUUUCCAUUUUAUUAGAAAAUAUUAUUAUUGAAUGAAAGACAAUUUAUGCGAUUCUCAAAGAAAUAAGUUUUUAUUAAAAGUGUAUUUUUUAACUUAGAGAAAUUUGCUCAAAUUUUAUCAUUUAGCAAGUCAAAAACAAGCAAUUUUUAAGAACCAGUUAUUAAAUCAUACAAGAUUGAGCUUAAAAAUGGUUCAACCCAUUGAACCGGGUUGUACAUGACGGUUAGUUAAUGGAUUAUACUUUAGAAUUGAAUAUGAUGAUUAAUAAAAAUAAGUAGAUGCCGACGUAUUUCAGUUUAAUGUCGGUUUAACUGUUGACCGUUAAAAGCUAGCCGAGAGUCACCAACCAGAUUCGACCAAUAUCAAAUAUCGGUUUUAUACACCGAACCCAUUUUGACUUGCCCCUACUUCAUACUAUGUUCCAUGGUAGCCGAAGAAACAUGACCCAUUGCAACAGGUCCUGGAACAAAAAUAGGUCGGUCGUUACAUUCACCAAAGGAGGUCUGAGUUGAAAAGGUCUGCAAGGAUAAACAUAAGCAGCCUCGGAUUUGACAGGAUGUUAGUCAUGUCAAGGGGUGAGAUGACGUGCAAGCCUGCCUUCUUUGUGUUUAGAAGUUUCUUUUUGUGCUUAAAAACGCCCCCUCGCAUAUGGUGAAUGAUCUUCCGUUAAAGCUCCAAGGUUUUGUCCUCGAAAUUAGUGAAAGGCAAAUAUAAAUAACACAAAGGCUUAAGAAGUUGGAAGGAACUCAGAGUAAUCAAAGUGAAAUUUCGAAUCUCAUUCAUGAUGUCGCAACUAUAUUAAACUACAGAUACCAUGAGUUUCCUUGGCUUUGGCUGUGGCUAGCUGAAGAGUAAAAGAAAUCCAGAAAUGAUGAUUGCCAUUUGCACAAAACUAAAAAAUGUAAGUCAUAGUCAUGUUACUCUUUCAUUGCCAUUUGUAAACUUAGUUUUUCUUUGAUUGCGACAGCGGCUGGUGUACACUCACAUGGAGUGGUUCUCAUGUAAAUAUUCCCACUUCAUAGUU
rnacentral:lncRNA from 1 species